GGGUUGUGAGGUUAAGCGACUAAGCGUACACGGUGGAUGCCCUGGCAGUCAGAGGCGAUGAAGGACGUGCUAAUCUGCGAUAAGCGUCGGUAAGGUGAUAUGAACCGUUAUAACCGGCGAUUUCCGAAUGGGGAAACCCAGUGUGUUUCGACACACUAUCAUUAACUGAAUCCAUAGGUUAAUGAGGCGAACCGGGGGAACUGAAACAUCUAAGUACCCCGAGGAAAAGAAAUCAACCGAGAUUCCCCCAGUAGCGGCGAGCGAACGGGGAGCAGCCCAGAGCCUGAAUCAGUGUGUGUGUUAGUGGAAGCGUCUGGAAAGGCGCGCGAUACAGGGUGACAGCCCCGUACACAAAAAUGCACAUACUGUGAGCUCGAUGAGUAGGGCGGGACACGUGGUAUCCUGUCUGAAUAUGGGGGGACCAUCCUCCAAGGCUAAAUACUCCUGACUGACCGAUAGUGAACCAGUACCGUGAGGGAAAGGCGAAAAGAACCCCGGCGAGGGGAGUGAAAAAGAACCUGAAACCGUGUACGUACAAGCAGUGGGAGCACGCUUCGGCGUGUGACUGCGUACCUUUUGUAUAAUGGGUCAGCGACUUAUAUUCUGUAGCAAGGUUAACCGAAUAGGGGAGCCGAAGGGAAACCGAGUCUUAACUGGGCGUUAAGUUGCAGGGUAUAGACCCGA
rnacentral:rRNA from 1 species